rnacentral:rRNA from 1 species
GAUGAACGCUGGCGGCGUGCUUAACACAUGCAAGUCGAACGAAGCAUUUGCGACAGAUUUUUUCGGAAUGAAGUUGCUUAUGACUGAGUGGCGGACGGGUGAGUAACGCGUGGGUAACCCGCCUUGUACUGGGGGAUAGCAGCUGGAAACGGCUGGUAAUACCGUAUAAGCGCACAAUGUUGCAUGACAUGGUGUGAAAAACUCCGGUGGUAUAAGAUGGACCCGCGUCUGAUUAGCUAGUUGGUGAGAUAACAGCCCACCAAGGCGACGAUCAGUAGCCGACCUGAGAGGGUGACCGGCCACAUUGGGACUGAGACACGGCCCAGACUCCUACGGGAGGCAGCAGUGGGGAAUAUUGCACAAUGGAGGAAACUCUGAUGCAGCGACGCCGCGUGAGUGAAGAAGUAAUUCGUUAUGUAAAGCUCUAUCAGCAGGGAAGAUAGUGACGGUACCUGACUAAGAAGCUCCGGCUAAAUACGUG